AGGUCAACCUGCCCAGUGAUUAUAGAUUCAACGGCCGCGGUAUUCUGACCGUGCAAAGGUAGCGUAAUCAUUAGUCUUUUAAUUAAAGACCUGUAUGAAUGGCCAAACGAAGGCUUAACUGUCUCUCUUUUCAAGUCAGUGAAAUUGAUCUACCCGUGCAGAAGCGGGUAUAAUUAUACAAGACGAGAAGACCCUGUAGAGCUUAAGGUACAAGACUUAACUACGUCAAACAACUCAAUAAAAAACAAAAACCUUGUAGAAUAAGACUCUACCUUCGGUUGGGGCGACCACGGAGAAAAAUAAAUCCUCCAUAGUGGACUGGGAUAACUAUCCUAAAACCAAGAGAGACAUCUCUAAGCCACAGAACAUCUGACCAAACAUGAUCCGGCCACAAAGCCGAAUGACGAACCAAGUUACCCCAGGGAUAACAGCGCAAUCCUCUCCCAGAGUUCAUAUCGACGAGGGGGUUUACGACCUCGAUGUUGGAUCAGGACAUCCUAAUGGUGCAGCCGCUAUUAAGGGUUCGUUUGUUCAACGAUUAACAGUCCUACCUGAUCUGAGUU
rnacentral:rRNA from 1 species